ensembl:lncRNA
CUUUGUUUAUCCAUCUGCAUCUUCCUUCUAUUUGUGUUUAACAUUUGGCUGAAAAUACUGCACGUUUAAGUUCUGUUUUCGAUGUGACUUCUUAAAGCGAUGUAACCGUCGGCGUGUUGUUUGCAGGAGCUGCGGUGGGUCCUCUGCUAGCCGGCCUGAUCUCUCCCACUGGCUGGAACCACGUCUUCUACAUGCUCAUCACUUCUGACCUCUUAGCCUGCCUGUUUUUGUCCAGGCUCGUUUACAAAGAAGCUCUUGGUUGGUGUCGACGUGUCCCCCGAGCCAGAGGGUGAGUGUGCACACCAGUAGGGCCUCACAAUUCAUUGCAUAUUUCAUAGAGAUGUACCGAUACUGCAAAUGGAUAUCAGUCCCGUACUAACUCAAGUAGCCGGAUAAGCGAUCGCUGAGGAUGAACGAUUUGGUACAUGAUUCCACUGUUUUAUUCAAAAACAAUUCAGUAAAUGCCUGUGUUUAUUUAUAGGAUUUCAUUAGAAUGUGUAGGUCAACCCUGAUGUUGCCAUACACAUAAAACAUGAUCCUAGUCACUUCGACACAUUUAGGCAUACGGCUUAUUGAUUGACGUGAUUGUAUUGUAAAUGGUUUAUAGUCAUUCUCAAAUCUUUUUGAUUCCAGGUUCAAAGAAAUCUGAAACACCGGGAACCAAAAUUGAGAAAAGAGGGAGAAAAUGCCGAAACUGACCUUGGUGGACAUUAUAUACUUCACUGAAUGGAAACCAUUGGAGCCGCCAGUGGAGGAUUCGAGGCACUACAACUGACGAUCAAGGCCGCCUUCUUCUUUUAAAAGACAAAUAUUUCUUUAUGGACACAACACUCUUUUUUAAAUGACUGAUUUACCGAUUUUAACUUGUUUUAAUAUUCUUUUAUCAUUAAAAAGUGUGUGCAUUUUCUUAAUUUCUGUCUCCCUAGUUACUGCAUAAAAACAAUAUAUAACAAUAACCUCUAUGUUUUGAGGGGAUGAUUCGUCUAAUGUCUGAAUCACAUUUUGCCUGACCAACAAAAAGAAAGUUGACGCCGCCUUCCUAUAUUUCCAUCUCUCAUUUACGCACAUGGGUCAAAUUAUGAAUAUCAGCCUAAAACUGUGCUUAAAAUGGGACGGGUGUCGGCAAAUUACACAGAUGACAAUUGGACUCCCUGCUCCCCGUUCUCCGUGGCAACCUCUAUAAAAAGGUAGUCAAUGACAGUAAUAAGAACGUACUAGAAGGACAUCGUGACCACAGGCCUCCACAAGGACAAAUGACCUCAUUCACAAUGUUAUUAAAAGCGGAACACUUCUUUUCCCUUUGAUUCAGAUAUGCUCCAAAAUGUGGUAUGACAGACUUGCGUGAAUAAACACUUAAAUAUCGGCUUAUAUAAGCAGUGUACUUUAUUAUGUAUAGUUUGUCUUGUACUGACAGACCCCAGCCAUCAGAGGGCAGGAGGAAACCUCGUUAUUGCAGCGCUCACUUCUUCCAGCCCUGAG